rnacentral:tRNA from 1 species
GGGUUCAUAGCUCAGUGGUAGAGCAAUCGACUGCAGAUCGAUAGGUCUCCAGUUCGAACCUGGAUGGGCCCU